rnacentral:tRNA from 1 species
CAGGAAAUAGUUUAGUUUAGAAUAUUAUCUUUGGGAGAUAGAGGUGGAAGUUAAAAUCUUUCUUUUCUGG